AACUGGGAAUGUACUAUCAAAGGAAGGAUCGGCUAACUACGUGCCACCAGCCGCGGUAAUACGUAAGAUCCGAGCGUUGUCCGGAUUUACUGGGUAUAAAGGGUGCGUAGGCGGGUUUGUGCUUCAUAGGUUAAAGACCGCAUCUCAACUGCGGGAGUGCCUCUGAUAAGGCAAAUCUUGGAUAUGAGAGGGGUAGGUAGAAUUCCUGGUGUAGCGGUGAAAUGCGUAGAUAUCAGGAGGAAUACCAGCGGCGAAUGCGGCCUACUGGCUCAUAAUCAACGCUGAAGCACGAAAGCGUGGGGAUCAAACAGGAUUAGAUACCCUGGUAGUCCACGCCCUAAACGAUGUAUGCUUGGUGUUGGGGAGCAAUUCUCAAUGCCGUAAGAAAUCUGUUAAGCAUACCACCUGGAGAGUACGAUCGCAAGGUUGAAACUCAAAAGAAUUGACGGGGGCCCGCACAAGCGGAGGAUCAUGUGGAUUAAUUCGAUGCAACGCGAAGAACCUUACCCAGGCUUGAAGUGCAUUUGACUAUUGCAGAAAUGUAAUAUUUCUUCGAGAACACGUGCAGAGGUGCUGCAUGGCCGUCUUCAUCUCUUGCCGUGAGGUGUUGGGUUAAGUCCCGCAACGAGCGCAACCCUUAUCUUUAGUUGCCAUCGGGUCAUGCCGGGAACUCUAAACAGACUGCCCACGCAAGUGCUGAGGAAAGUGAGGAUGACAUCAAGUCAUCAUGGCCCUUAUG
rnacentral:rRNA from 1 species